rnacentral:lncRNA from 1 species
AAGCAACAAAGGAAACAGAUAGGCGCUCAUUAUGUUGCCUGUCUGUUUCCUUCCUAGCUUAUUUACCUUUUCCUUCAUGCUCAAACGCUCAAACUUAGCUGUGUGAAACCAAUACGAGAAUAAUAUGCACCAACUCGGCCAAUCAGCACUACUUUUCAUCUUCGUUUGUUUUAGGUACUGUUUUUGCGUACGACGAGUUUGAAGGUAGAUGGUGACGAAGUCGGCGAAGGAACUGCACUUACAUGUAAGGAGGAAUUGGUCCACGCUGACAUAACGCAACAACCUUCCGCUGAGGAACUGUGUGAGCAACUCUCAGUGUGUUUGAACAUGAUGAUAGCGCGAAGCGGCUAUGAGAGGAACAUUUCUGUUAGUGAGGUCUUCGAGGGUACGUUCGACCGUUAGCUCAAUAGAUUUACGCAAAAUACUGUGUGAGAUCAUCCGAUAAUUGAUUAAGAAUCUACGCUUUGCGCGUAGGGUCCUUACACACAGAAGAAAACGGGAUUUGAAAGUAUGAUUUGCCUUUUGCAGUCGCUCGGCAAGACGACGUGUAGUAGCUAUUCCGAACAUCAAGUUUUCUGUAAACAGAACUUGAGACACUUCAUUCGAUUUCAAUAUAUGACGAUGAUCAAAACACGGGCGCAAAAAGCGUGAAAGAGUGAUAAUUGCAAUGACACAACCACUUGAUAGAAGCAGCAGAGUCUGGGGCAUGAACAAGAUGGUCUCCUUUGUUUAGUUUUUUUUUUCUUUUUUCGUAUUGAUAAGAGCUGUAAAUCUAGUAGUACUGCCCGAAAAAGCAAGUAAUUGUAGUCGCAGUGCGGGCGCUUGGGUUAUUUCUUGGACAUUGCCUUCUCUUCUUCCUUGUCGUGUUGAGUACCUGCAGAAUCAAUGUGUUAUCGCCUAUAGCAUGCACGUUUCCCCUCCCCAAACAUUGUUCGAAACAGUAUGUGAGCCUUCGACACGUUUAUACAGGCGUAAAGCGCGCGGUGAACGCAUCACCACCGCCUAACACGAGGAGUACCUCAAAGUACACAGAACAGAACGACUGAUAGAGGUGGGGAAAAAAAUGACGCUCUUCUUCUAGGAGGUCGAGUCACAUACCUAUUCUACCUGCUCAUUUGUUAAUCUGCGUCGUUUCAGCAGUUGUGUGCAGUUGUGAGGGGCGCAUCUCGUAUGUUACUCAACGUUACGUCGUGUGACUGUCGUGUAGUUUGUGCGCGAGUGGACGUGUCUGGGUGUGCGUGUUUUACAGUGUGGCAGGUUGUCUGUUCGUCAUGUUCGUGAUUUGAUGUUGUAACUAUAGGCGGGGACGGAAAACGAAACGGAAACCAAGGUUGCGGGCGCGACUGUCGUUGCCAAGUUUCUCGCUUCUUGUCGGAAGUUACUGAAAUUGCGGUGCUCGUUGUACUUAUCCCCACGCUUUUCGCAACGACUGGGCUACCGUACGUAUAGCUGCAGUUUAGUAUCAACCUUCGAGCGGUGCUGUAGCUAGAAGUGAAAGUAGUUAGCACAGCAGUAAGUCACCUGCGUGGUGUGUCAUGUACUCUUGUUUACUUGACAUUUGCGUUAGCUGUAAUCACAAAAUGUUUAACACAAUUAACCCAUAAGUGCGCAUGGUAAUCAAUUGUUAAGAAAUACCAUUAUCUAAGGCAAUCCCCCCCAUUGGUAUAAAUGCAAGAAAAGAUAUUUCUGUUCUCAAUUAUUCUUUUUUUUUCUAGGUUUGGUCGAGAUGGAACCGAAUUGAUGACUUCUUUAUUAUUAAGUACUCAGUGGCAUUGCUAUGAAAGUGUGAAGCUCUCGCACAUGGUUGUCAACAAAUGUCAAUAAGUUGAACAAUGCAACACAUGAUCUCAAAAAGAAGAAAAGAAAAACAGUAACUAAUGCAGCUGAGCCACUGUAUCAGUACGGGCUUUUAUAAGCUGCAAAGAGGACGUUGCCAUAUUCGUAAAAGCAAAAGUCCUCUUCUAUACACACAUGGUGCCGUAUUAUUUAACAUGACAUAAAUUUGCUGGUAUGUGUCUGCUCAUCAUUGGUUAUAGAAUGUAAAACUUGCCGGGUGCUUGUCUAGUCACUGUGUGUAUUCUCCAGAUUCGAUUGAUAUCUGAAAAUCAAUUUCUCAUUUACGUGAUCCCUCAGCAAAACGAUAUGCAGAUAUGGUUAAUAAAUGAAACGUUAAGAGGAAUACGUCUAAGAAGACGCUUGAGUACUUCCGAAAAUUUCGAAAUAUUUAUCAGAUUCGGGUAACAUUUGGAGAGUCGUUUUUUCUGGGCUUCCGGUUGCUAUGGCCUGCGUAGCUUUUGCUCAACUGAAAUAGAAAUAUCGUUUCUGCGAAGCCUAGAUGAGCUGCUACAGUGCAGGUCAUGCAUUCGAUUUCUUUGUAAAGGCAAUACUAUCUCACUGACGCGUUUCUAUUUUAUGACAGCCGUUCUUUUUUUUUAUUUCCUUCGUCAACUCUUCGCUGUCUGUAUCCCGUAGGAUCGCCUUCACGCAGAUAUUGAAGUAUUCAAGAAGUUGACAAGUCGUGCAGAAAACUUAGCCGCGCCUUUGUCUCCGUUAGUAAAUUAGAAGCUUAAGCGACUUGACAUUAUCUAUACUUUCGCCUACAAGCCGGUGUAUCAGUUACGAAAUCUAUGACCGUUCAGUUCUCUUCGGGGUGACAGCUCCUCAGCCUCGCGACUGCUCUCCUCAGAAACCAAUCGAAGUUGCUCACGUCUUAAAAUACUCACUGGGUACAUUUAAGUGCGCGUGCUCGUUCUUCCUUCGAAGAUUGAGCAUUCGCUUUAUAACUGUUAAUUUUUUCUCAUCACGCGUCGUUUCUCAGGCGGGCGUCAAACGGUGCUCAGCAUUUGAGCUCCACGCACAGACUGUGUUCAUAACGCUCAUCCUUCUUCAGGCGAUCUCCUUUCCCGCUAUGUCGAGUCACGGGCACUAGUAAACGAGGCCUAGGUGGCGUUAGUGCCAAUGUCACGAUCCCACCAACGUUGCUGUGGCGCUCGCACUGCGCCUGACGUUUCAACUCCAGGUGAGCAAAGGCCAACAACAGAGUCGCGCGUGCUCGCGGUCCGUUCUUUUCACAAGCAGGGCGGUACGAAGUGGCGAGUGGCACGCUCACUUCUACUUUUGGUUCAUUGACCUUUCAGCCUUUGCGAUGAUGAAUUUUAUUAAGCUAUCUUCAACGUCAGCUGUAUGGUGGUUGAACGCCAUACUGUCUAUCGGCAACGAAAACCAAACAUCAGAUCAAAACGUCGCGCAAGUCAAGGUGAUGUUAGAGUUACUUUCGCAUCCGAAUCAACUUAGCGAGGAACUCUCCUUCGCUGAAAAUGAACAACAAAGUGCGUUUUGUUCCUUUAUGUAGAACAGCAAGGUUCGUAAUGUAUGUCGAUAUUUCAGGAUCAAAUCUUCUCAGGCGCGUCGCUCAGUCGUCGAUCGUAGUGGUCUUUUGUAGUACUGACUCUUAGGAUCGGCUGUAAGAUAAGCGAUGCUCUAAGACUCUCUCUUUCACUCUCUCCCUCUUUCCCACUGUGCGAGAAGGCAGCGAGCGGCACGGCGUUUGGAUUUCCUGCUUCCAAACAGUGCUGCCCUCUGGAUGCGCAUAUUUUUUACAUAACAACGUAGUGACGUAGAUCCCCGUGUGACAUAUAUUAUAGCCAAUAGAAUGGCCCCGGUCGGCCUUCUCUUAUCUACUCACUUCCACGCGUUUCGUCCCCAUUUUGUUUUCGCAUGGAGUGCUUGUUAUUCACAAAUUCAAGGAGAAGGCGAAACAUACACGGCAGCUUCUUCUUCUUCGAUAGGCGAACCUCGUUAAGUUAGCAGUUGUUCGACUGUUGUCACUGCUAAGACGCAUUCAUGGUUGUACUUAUUGAUUUUACUUUUUUUUCUUUGAUUCUCGAGAGUCUAUUGCUGUUCGCUAUAGCGCGGUUUGAGCGAGUGACCUUUUUUUAUAUAUAUUCUUCUUCUUCUUCUUUUGUAAUUCCUUCAUCAAAUCAUACGGCGCUGCCUCUCCCAGAGCACAGAUAUGAAAAGUAAAAAAAAAAACUGAAUUAGCUUUAGCGAGAUACUGUUUCUAUCUUUCAAAUCCCGCAUCAUUAGCUCCGUUCACGAAAACACCUUAAAAUCUGGCAUCUUCGAAUAGAGCAGACAGUCGAGGCGCUCUGUAGUUUUAGAUGUAGUACUCAGCUAAACACGACUAAUCCGCGUAAUCUGUAGGAGGCAUAAAGCUUCGUCAGUUUUGAUAAUUAAAAAAGAUAGAACGAGCGUAACCGUGUAAGUUUGUACGAACAAAAUGGCUUUACAGAGAUGGAUGAAAAACAAAGAAACCAAAUAUUCUUAUUUCUAUCAAGUGUUAGAAUUCUUUUAGAUGUAUGCAGCGGCCGAUUAUUUAAGCGGGACUGAAAAAAGCGCGUCUUUCAGCGAUUUGCUUGACUUCUCGCCGUUUUCAGUAAAGAAGUGGUUCACGAAUACGUGUUGUAUUGCUUAACCUGUUUAAAAGCUGGUUGAUCGGCAUUCGUCGUCAAACACAACAAGCAAUCAUUGGUUCACUUCAACUCGCGUUUUUGUCAGUGCUGUUGGACAAGAAAAAAAAACGUUUGUGAACUCUACUCGCGGCAGUGUUUGUCUGGGUGGAAACGGUAUCAUUUUGAUACAUUAUUAAAAGUAUUUUACCUAAAUAAAAGUUGCAUACUACAA